rnacentral:lncRNA from 1 species
AGGGAACAGAGGGAGGGAAGAAAAAACCCAUUUUGCAUGAGAAAUAAUUUAUGAGAAGAAAAAACCCAUUUCGCCGGAGGACUUAUUAUAACGGAAUUCACGUUGCCCAGCCAUAAAGCUUAAACCUCCUACGUAUUUUCAACUUGAGUCACAUUCUUCUCAUUUUCUUUAGUGUGGUGCAAUUUUUAAUUUCCAAUUUCUACUUCACAGGUUGGAAAAAUUACAUGGUUUGCAACUGUAGUUGAAGUCUUAAGACAACAAUUCCAUUAAUCGCUACUAUUGUGCACCUGAAUCCUCUUCUAUGUUUGUUUCCCCCAUUUUAGUUUAUUGCUUAAACUGAAGGAGUGAAUUAUUUUGUAAAAGAUCAAAAGCUACAUUUUGAGUCUCCUAAUCUAUUAGGCCAACAUAAUGCUCCACCUUACUGCUUGUGUGAUUCACAACAUAAUAUUCAGUUAGAAUCCCGGUGUAAUGAUUCACUUAACAGUGCCAGUGUGAGCAUACUAGAUCCAAAAUCGUCGAAAAGAAAAGGUGCGCCAAGGAAACUUUAGAAAAAAGCCCAUUGGAGUCGACUUCAAAGAAAUCGAAGGUGUGUUCUUGCCUCUGAUCUUUUCCAUUCUAAUGUAGUCCUUUACCAAAUUUUAAUUCAUCUCAAUGUACAUGUAAGCAACUUCAAAUUUAAACAAAGGCAACAGAUCGAAACCACGGGACAGUAAUACAGACGAAGGUGCACCCAACAUUCAACAAUUUCAACAAACACGGUAUUUACAAUCAAUGUCGUUCUCGUAUUCACACCUAUUAUUGGUUAGUAUAUUGAUUUUACAUAGUUGUGGUUUUUUGAACUAUUGUUUAAUUUGCUCUUUGAUGUAGGCCGACACUAGAACUCACGUGUUUUCCCAACAAUUACCGGAUAUAAAUUUGACCCUUCCGUCGUCUUUGAACAACAUACUCAGUUCUGCAGGUAUGGGCAUUUUUCAAUCGUUCUAACUCAAUAUGUACAUAUACAGUAUUAAUGUAGUAAUGUCCGUGGUGCAAAUUAGGUCAAUCGUUGCAAUCCUACUAUCCACAUUAAAUUUAUAACGGUGGCAUAGGAACAUAGGCGGGUGGAAGUUUGGUGAUUAUUUUUUACUUUGUUUUUUGUCUUCCGCAUUGCUAAAUGCAAAAUGGUAAUAUGGGCUUGGAUUGCAUUGUAAGGUUUUGUUUAUGCCGUCUUGUGUAGUGCUUAACUUUAGUUAAUAAUGAAGACAAGAUGGACUUCAGCGGGAUCUUGGAAGCUAUUAAGUUAGUGUACUCUUUAUAUAAUAUGUUGAGUUGUUCUUGCUAUGUUUUGCUUAAAAUAAAAAUUUAUGGACAAAUCUGUUGUUUUCUUUGUCUUCUAUCACAACAGACCAACUUCAAUGACAGGUAUGAUGAGACCAGGAAGAAGUCGGGUGGUGGAGUAAUAGGCUCAUGUUUUGGUUUUGUCAGGUGUUUAUGCACUAAAAUUCAGUACUUAGUUGCUGUAACUUCUUCAUUUUAAUGAUUAUAAUGUGGUAAACUUGGCAAGCUAGUGGUUGCUAGACCAGAUGUACA